GCCGGGAUACGGGAAGUGGACAAACCCAGCGGUCUGUAAAACCGACGUCUUUAAGGCUUCGUAGGUUCGAAUCCUACUCCCGGCA
rnacentral:tRNA from 1 species